rnacentral:rRNA from 1 species
GAUAAACGCUGGCGGCGUGCCUAAUACAUGCGAGUCGAGCGAACGGACGAGAAGCUUGCUUCUCUGAUGUUAGCGGCGGACGGGUGAGUAACACGUGGAUAACCUACCUAUAAGACUGGGAUAACUUCGGGAAACCGGAGCUAAUACCGGAUAAUAUUUUGAACCGCAUGGUUCAAAAGUGAAAGACGGUCUUGCUGUCACUUAUAGAUGGAUCCGCGCUGCAUUAGCUAGUUGGUAAGGUAACGGCUUACCAAGGCAACGAUGCAUAGCCGACCAGAGAGGGUGAUCGGCCACACUGGAACUGAGACACGGUCCAGACUCCUACGGGAGGCAGCAGUAGGGAAUCUUCCGCAAUGGGCGAAAGCCUGACGGAGCAACGCCGCGUGAGUGAUGAAGGUCUUCGGAUCGUAAAACUCUGUUAUUAGGGAAGAACAUAUGUGUAAGUAACUGUGCACAUCUUGACGGUACCUAAUCAGAAAGCCACGGCUAACUACGUGCCAGCAGCCGCGGUAAUACGUAGGUGGCAAGCGUUAUCCGGAAUUAUUGGGCGUAAAGCGCGCGUAGGCGGUUUUUUAAGUCUGAUGUGAAAGCCCACGGCUCAACCGUGGAGGGCCAUUGGAAACUGGAAAACUUGAGUGCAGAAGAGGAAAGUGGAAUUCCAUGUGUAGCGGUGAAAUGCGCAGAGAUAUGGAGGAACACCAGUGGCGAAGGCGACUUUCUGGUCUGUAACUGACGCUGAUGUGCGAAAGCGUGGGGAUCAAACAGGAUUAGAUACCCUGGUAGUCCACGCCGUAAACGAUGAGUGCUAAGUGUUAGGGGGUUUCCGCCCCUUAGUGCUGCAGCUAACGCAUUAAGCACUCCGCCUGGGGAGUACGACCGCAAGGUUGAAACUCAAAGGAAUUGACGGGGACCCGCACAAGCGGUGGAGCAUGUGGUUUAAUUCGAAGCAACGCGAAGAACCUUACCAAAUCUUGACAUCCUUUGACAACUCUAGAGAUAGAGCCUUCCCCUUCGGGGGACAAAGUGACAGGUGGUGCAUGGUUGUCGUCAGCUCGUGUCGUGAGAUGUUGGGUUAAGUCCCGCAACGAGCGCAACCCUUAAGCUUAGUUGCCAUCAUUAAGUUGGGCACUCUAAGUUGACUGCCGGUGACAAACCGGAGGAAGGUGGGGAUGACGUCAAAUCAUCAUGCCCCUUAUGAUUUGGGCUACACACGUGCUACAAUGGACAAUACAAAGGGCAGCGAAACCGCGAGGUCAAGCAAAUCCCAUAAAGUUGUUCUCAGUUCGGAUUGUAGUCUGCAACUCGACUACAUGAAGCUGGAAUCGCUAGUAAUCGUAGAUCAGCAUGCUACGGUGAAUACGUUCCCGGGUCU